rnacentral:rRNA from 1 species
CACGUAGGGCGCAAGCGUUGUCCGGAAUUAUUGGGCGUAAAGAGCUCGUAGGCGGUCUGUUGCGUCCGCUGUGAAAACUCGGGGCUUAACCCCGAGCCUGCAGUGGAUACGGGCAGACUAGAGGUAGGUAGGGGAGAAUGGAAUUCCCGGUGUAGCGGUGAAAUGCGCAGAUAUCAGGAGGAACACCUGUGGCGAAGGCGGCCGACUGGACGAUCACUGACACUGAGACGCGAAAGCGUGGGUAGCAAACAGG